UUUCUUAGCAGGAGGAAGUCAGGAGGAGGCAAAGCGGGCAAAGACAUCAGAUAAGUCGGGAUAAAAUUCUUGGCUAACCUGUUUUUUCCGCUUCCUCCAGACAGCCAGUUCUGAAGCACUGAGCAGAGAUCUGCCCGGGAGGAAGAGCAGAGCCAAUCUCUGAGAGCUGACGCGCGAGCUGUGGUGAGGACAGCUGCUCCCUGCCUGCAGCCUGCCUUGGUGUGGGAGCUGCUGAGCUGCCAUUCCUGUGGUGGGAGUGUUUCUCCUCUCAUUGAGCCAAGCCAGAGACCUGCUAGGGAAGGAGCAGACUCAUCACGGCAGGACGGCGUGAAGGCUGAAAGCGUAAGAAGAUGUGGAGGGAAGCAGAGAAUCUGACAGGAGCAUCGAACGCGCGAGCGCACGAAUUUUGCUUUUUGCUUGGGUGUAAACUCAGGAGUUGAAAGGAAUUUGGGAGUGAGAAGGGACAUUUCAGAAGGUGAAGAAGAAAAAGAAGUUGUUGUUGUUGUUACAGGCCUGGCAAAAUCUUUUGUUCUAGCUAAUAAAAGAAGUUAGUUUAAAUAAAAAAAAGAAAAAAAAAUGUAGUUUUUCUUUACCUGACUGUUAUAUUCAUUGGUGGUAUAUGGUGUGUUGUUUAAUUUCUUGGUAUGAUUAACUCAGUGUAAGUUGUUUUUUGAGUGAACUAACUUUCUGGAUGGGUUGGUUUGUAUUUGAGACAGGAUUGAUUUCAAUAGGUUUCUUUCAUAGACUUGUGAUAGGUAUUACUGGGGUUUUGGCUUUGUUUACUGUAUGCAUAAACAUACAGCUUUGGUUGGGCCAGGUGGGCUGCCGGAGUUUGUGGGUGUGAAUUUAUUCGAUGGCUUUUGUUAAAUGCAGUGUUUAAUUUUUGACAGGUUUUUCAAUGUAGUGGUUUUAAGGUGGUUUUUAGAAUUGAUUGUAUGGUUUGAUGUUGUUUAUAGUUGCUGUCCGGUAAGGGAUGUGGUGUGAGUACUUGAACCUUAUGGUUUUGGUUUUCCUAAGUUCCGUUUUCUUUCUGGUUCGAUAGGUUUUUUUAGUUUUAUUUUUGGUGCCAGGGGUAUUCACGUGGUGGGUUUUUAUAGGCAAUAUGUUUUUUAAUUUGGGUAGUGAUAUUUUUUAGUAUUUUAACAGUUUAGAUUUUUUAUUUUUAUGCUUUGAAUUAGUUUUCUUUUAAUUUUAAAUUAAGUUUUAUAGAUGAUUGGUUUUUAUUUGUGCAUUAGCAUAAAGGUAGAGCUUUGGGGGCUUCUUUUAGUACUGUUUAGUUUUGAGUCUAGUGAGUUGGUUUGAUUUAAUUUUUAGUGGGUGUUUGUUUUUCUUAGCAGUUGUGUCAUUUUCAAGGUGUAUUUGAGGUUUUUGGGGUUUUUGAGAUAUUGGUUUAGGAGGACGUUUAUGAUGAGCAUGUGCGCAGGUUUUGGGCUAGUUGAAGUGGGAUUUAAAAUUUAUUUUGGGUUAGGUUUAUUUGAGUGUUUAUGAGGGUUCAGUGUUGUGGGAUGUUUGUUCCGUUAGUAAUAAAAAUAGGUUUUGUUUUGAUGUGCUGCGAUGGGAUGAGCGUGUGCUGCGUGCCGGUGCUGACAAAGGGCCCGCUGAAGGAC